rnacentral:misc_RNA from 1 species
CAAGCUCUUCGAAGACGC